rnacentral:rRNA from 1 species
GUUGAACGCUGGCGGCAGGCCUAACACAUGCAAGUCGAACGGCAGCACAGAAGAGCUUGCUCUUUGGGUGGCGAGUGGCGGACGGGUGAGUAAUGUCUGGGAAACUGCCCGAUGGAGGGGGAUAACUACUGGAAACGGUAGCUAAUACCGCAUAACGUCGCGGGCCCAAAGUGCGGGACCUUCGGGCCUCACACCAUCGGAUGUGCCCAGAUGGGAUUAGCUAGUAGGUGGGGUAAUGGCUCACCUAGGCGACGAUCCCUAGCUGGUCUGAGAGGAUGACCAGCCACACUGGAACUGAGACACGGGCCAGACUCCUACGGGAGGCAGCAGUGGGGAAUAUUGCACAAUGGGCGCAAGCCUGAUGCAGCCAUGCCGCGUGUAUGAAGAAGGCCUUCGGGUUGUAAAGUACUUUCAGCGGGGAGGAAGGCGGUGAGGUUAAUAACCUUGCCGAUUGACGUUACCCGCAGAAGAAGCACCGGCUAACUCCGUGCCAGCCGCCGCGGUAAGAC